rnacentral:tRNA from 1 species
GUGGAGCAGCCCGGUAGCUCGUCAGGCUCAUAACCUGAAGGCCGCAGGUUCAAAUCCUGCCCCCGCAACCAAUGAAU